rnacentral:rRNA from 1 species
AACCUGCCCAAGAGAUCGGGAUAACACCUGGAAACAGAUGCUAAUACCGGAUAACAACAGAUGAUGCCUAUCAACUGUUUAAAAGAUGGUUCUGCUAUCACUCUUUGGAUGGACCUGCGGUGCAUUAGCUAGUUGGUAGGGUAACGGCCUACCAAGGCGAUGAUGCAUAGCCGAGUUGAGAGACUGAUCGGCCACAUUGGGACUGAGACACGGCCCAACUCCUACGGGAGGCAGCAGUC